rnacentral:rRNA from 1 species
AGUGAACGCUGGCGGUAGGCCUAACACAUGCAAGUCGAACGGCAGCACAGUAAGAGCUUGCUCUUACGGGUGGCGAGUGGCGGACGGGUGAGGAAUACAUCGGAAUCUACUUUUUCGUGGGGGAUAACGUAGGGAAACUUACGCUAAUACCGCAUACGACCUACGGGUGAAAGCAGGGGAUCUUCGGACCUUGCGCGAUUGAAUGAGCCGAUGUCGGAUUAGCUAGUUGGCGGGGUAAAGGCCCACCAAGGCGACGAUCCGUAGCUGGUCUGAGAGGUUGACCAGCCACCCUGGAACUGGAACACGUCCCGGACUCCUACGGGAGGCGGCGGUGGGAAAUUUUGGCCAAUGGCGGCAAGCCUGACCCGGCCUACCGGGGUGGUGAAGAAGGCCUUCGGGUUGUAAAGCCCUUUUGUUGGGAAAGAAAAGCAGCAGGUUAAUACCCCGCUGUUCUGACGGUACCCAAAGAAUAAGCACCGGCUAACUUCGUG